UACGUAGGGGCCAAGCGUUGUCCGGAGUUACUGGGCGUAAAGCGUGCGCAGGCGGCGCGUUGCGCCCGACGUGAAAGCCCCCGGCUCAACCGGGGAGGGUCGUCGGGGACGGGCGCGCUUGAGGGAUGCAGGGGCUGGUGGAACUCCCGGUGUAGUGGUGAAAUGCGUAGAGAUCGGGAAGAACACCCGUGGCGAAGGCGGCCAGCUGGGCAUCACCUGACGCUGAGGCACGAAGGCGUGGGGAGCGAACGGG
rnacentral:rRNA from 1 species